UUUAUUGAAACUGAAUUGUUUCGGUAUAUACAAAAAUCAAGAAUCAGGAACAAUUAAAUUACUUUCUGCGGCAGCAUUGUCCAUUUCCGCAUGGAGAGUAGUUAGCUUGGCAGGAGCAGGAGCUCUGUUGUGGGCUCUGUUGGCAGG
ensembl:ncRNA C03A7.15 ncRNA